UACGUAGGGUGCGAGCGUUAAUCGGAAUUACUGGGCGUAAAGAGUGCGCAGGCGGACUUGUAAGUCUGAUGUGAAAUCCCCAGGCUUAACCUGGGACUGGCAUUGGAAACUGCGAAUCUAGAGUAAGAGAGAGGGAGGUAGAAUUCCACGUGUAGCAGUGAAAUGCGUAGAGAUGUGGAGGAAUACCGAUGGCGAAGGCAGCCUUCUGGCUCAUUACUGACGCUCAAGCACGAAAGCGUGGGGAGCAAACAGG
rnacentral:rRNA from 1 species